rnacentral:rRNA from 1 species
GACGAACGCUGGCGGCGUGCCUAAUACAUGCAAGUCGAACGCAGUGGGGACGGGUGAGUAACACGUGGGUAACCUCCCAUCAGAGGGGAUAACACUUGGAAACAGGUGCUAAACCGAUACUGAUGGAUGGACCCGCGGUGCAUUAGCUAGUUGGUGGGGUAACGGCUCACCAAGGCCACGAUCCAUAGCCGACCUGAGAGGGUGAUCGGCCACACUGGGACGGAGACACGGCCCAGACUCCUACGGGAGGCAGCAGUGGGGAAUCUUCGGCAAUGGGCGAAAGCCUGACCGAGCCACGCCGCGUGAGUGAAGAAGGUUUUCGGAUCGUAAAGCUCUGUUGGUAGAGAAGCGGUACCUACCCAGAAAGCAACGGCUAACUACGUGCCAGCAGCCGCGGUAAUUC